rnacentral:rRNA from 1 species
UACGGAGGGUGCAAGCGUUGUUCGGAAUUAUUGGGCGUAAGGGGCGUGUAGGUGGCUGUCCAAGUCUGGUGUGAAAGCCCACGGCUCAACCGUGGAACUGCAUUGGAAACUGGAUAGCUCGAGUAUUGGAGGGGGUCGCGGAAUUCCCGGUGUAGAGGUGAAAUUCGUAGAUAUCGGGAGGAACACCAGUGGCGAAGGCGGCGACCUGGCCAUUUACUGACACUGAGACGCGAAGGCGUGGGGAGCGAACAGG